AUUGAACGCUGGCGGCAGGCCUAAUACAUGCAAGUCGAGCGGAGCGGCGGACGGGUGAGUGCUGCCUAGGAAUCUGCCCGUUAGUGGGGGAUAACGUCCGGAAACGGGCCCUAUUACCGCAUACUUUCAGAUCGGCCUAGGUCGGAUUAGCUAGUUGGGGGGGUAAAGGCCUACCAAGGCGACGAUCCGUAACUGCUCUGAGAGGAUGAUGGGUCACACUGGGACUGAGACACGGGCCAGACUCCUACGGGAGGCAGCAGUGGGGAAUAUUGGGCAAUGGACGAAAGCCUGAUCCAGCCACGCCGCGUGUGUGAAGAAGGUCUUCGGAUCGUAAAACUCUGUAGGUAGGGAGGCGGUACCAACAGAAUAAGCACCGGCUAACUUCGUGCCAGCAGCCGCGGUAAUUC
rnacentral:rRNA from 1 species